GUGCUGUGAUGUCUCAUACAACACAUCAUGCUGACCAAAGCCAUGGUGAAGAGAAACCCUGAGCACA